rnacentral:rRNA from 1 species
UACGGAGGAUCCAAGCGUUAUCCGGAUUCAUUGGGUUUAAAGGGUGCGUAGGCGGACUGAUAAGUCAGCGGUGAAAUCCCACGGCUCAACUGUGGAACUGCCGUUGAUACUGUUAGUCUUGAAUGCAGAUGAUGUGGGCGGAAUAUGACAUGUAGUGGUGAAAUACUUAGAUAUGUCAUAGAACACCGAUUGCGAAGGCAGCUCACAAAACUGUGAUUGACGCUGAGGCACGAAAGCGUGGGUAUCAAACAGG